rnacentral:rRNA from 1 species
GACGAACGCUGGCGGCGUGCUUAACACAUGCAAGUCGAACGCUGAAGCUUGGUGCUUGCCCUGGGUGGAUGAGUGGCGAACGGGUGAGUAAUACGUGAGUAACCUGCCCUUGACUCUGGGAUAAGCCUGGGAAACUGGGUCUAAUACUGGAUACGACAUGUCACCGCAUGGUGGUGUGUGGAAAGGGUUUUACUGGUUUUGGAUGGGCUCACGGCCUAUCAGCUUGUUGGUGGGGUAAUGGCUCACCAAGGCGACGACGGGUAGCCGGCCUGAGAGGGUGACCGGCCACACUGGGACUGAGACACGGCCCAGACUCCUACGGGAGGCGGCAGUGGGGAAUAUUGCACAAUGGGCGGAAGCCUGAUGCAGCGACGCCGCGUGAGGGAUGACGGCCUUCGGGUUGUAAACCUCUUUCAGCACGGAAGAAGCGAAAGUGACGGUACGUGCAGAAGAAGCGCCGGCUAACUACGUG